rnacentral:lncRNA from 1 species
UUCUUGAGCUUAAACCGUGAAAAUAGCAAACAUCCUAAAAUGGAGAAUGUGAAUAAGAUCGCAAUAGGGAGGAAUAUUUUGAUAUAGUAAGGAAUUCUGCUGCUGUUGGCUUUUUUGGUUACUGGAGUAGGACACAUAUAGGGUGAUAAAUCACUAUUGCCUUCAAAUGGAUCGGGAGAAAUCUUGUUACAACCAUUUCCAGCGUCGACAAUGUAGAGAUCAGUAGCAUACAAGAUAGGGAUAGGACCUGAGAGUUGGUUGAAGCUAAGGUUUAGAUAUGAUAGAUCAAAAAGCUUGCCAAUAUCUUUUGGGAUAGAACCUUUUAAUAGAUUAGAAUCAAGGCUUAAGUGCCGCAUCUUUGAUAAACUACCAACACAAGAAGGGAUGGAACCACUCAAUUUGUUUUGGGAGAGGUACAAUGAAGUCAAAUUUGCUAGAUUACAAAUUUCUUGGGGAAUAGGACCUUUUAAUAGAUUAGAACCAAGGCUUAAGUACAGCAUCUUUGAUAAACUACCAAUACAAGAAGGGAUUGAACCAGUCAAUUUGCUUUCGGAGAGGUACUGAUACGAGUCACAAAAGCCCAAAUUCUUGAGGGCAAGGCCCAAUAAGAAGAUUCCAAGCCCAAUCAAGAAAUCCACCCAUACUUAGUUGAAAAUCAGGCCAAAUUGUCAAAGUGGCCCAAGUUGUAAAGUUUUAUUUUUAUUUAUUUAUUUAUUUUACUUAGUUUAAAUGUUUAUCCAAGAGUCCCAAAUAAAAGACCCUUGGCCGAAUUUCCAUAUUAAAAUAAUUAGGAGUUUUUUUUUUUAGUUUUAGUUUUAGUGUUCUAAUUAAAUUAGGAAAACAUUUGAAAGGCCUAUUUAUAUGGCUUGGCCAACCACCCUACAUUACAAUACAAUUACAUUGAAAAUUUCAGAUUUAAUUUGAGUGAAAAUUCUCUUUGAGUUCUUCAAGGAUUUUCUCUUGAGUUUUCUUUAGAAGUUGUUUUAACAAUCUUUUUGAUUGUGGGAGCCAUCUUCAACCUUCUUCUUGCCAUUGAUAUUCUUUGGAGGGGAGAUUAGAGCCGUUUGAAGGGAGUUGUGAGAUCUUUCGAGAUUUCAAGGCUUCUUAGGACUUAUCUUUUAAUUUCUUACUGUCAAUUCUUUCUUUAUUUCUACUUGUGCUGAAUCAUUAUCUAAUCUAUUUUCUGUUCUUAUUGUGUUUUCAGCCUUUUUCUAUCUUAAGGAAUCAGCCCAAAAAUCCCCAAUUUCUAGGGUUUUUCCAUACUCUUUUUGGGUGAAAUUAGAUUGUCGAAAUUUGGGGAAAACUAUCUUGGUGUUCAAUUGGGCAGAAUCACAAUCUCCUUGAGGGUUUCAAGAACCCUAACACUUAUUUCUAUUCUCAAUUUGAUUCUUUGCUGAUUUGGGGAUUUUAUUUCAGAUCUGAAAAUUCAAAAAUCUAAUCUUUUAAUUUUCUGUUUCGUUUCAGAUCUAAUUGUUUAGGGUUUUCGUAGGAGUCUCUCGUGACUUGGCAACUCGAUCUUGGUCCGCGCGCAACCCCGUAUCAUUUGGUAUCAGAUUUUGGGCGUUUUGAGUGUUCUUGGUUGAUUUCUAAACUGAUCUUUAUUUUUUAAAGCAUAAACAGCAGUUUUACCCAGAAAAAAUUGUUCAAAAAAAAAUUCAUUUGAGUGGGUAAACGUUGUCCUAUUGAUCUGAAAUUUUACAUACAUGUUUUUGGCACUGUGAUUGAAUAUAAAAAAAUUAUUCCCGCAAAAAAAUCAGUCAAAAAAGUUAAAAAAAUCAAAAAAUACGAAAUUCAAUAAAAAUUUAAAAAAAGAUUCAGCGGGUUGAAUUUGGUGCCCAAAAUUUCCAGAUCGAAAAUUCAAUAUAUAAGGACACUCCAGAUUUAAUUUCGUGAUUUUUGGAGAUCGGGAACACCUCGAACGAAGUUGUCAAGUUACUCCGCAGUUUUUCGGGUUUUCUGUUUUCAGCAAUUUUUAUUGAUUCUUAGCUGUAGGUUUUCAUUUGUUUGCUUUUUAUUCUCCUUUUACAAUAUCUAACACCUUCUUGUUUCUUGUGUUAGUAGGAUUUAAACGUGUGCACAAUCCUUCCUCGGUGCAACACGAAUCACUUGGUGUCUCGUCAGUUUUUGGCAUCCUAGUGCAAAUUAGGAUUCUUUGGUAGUUUGGUUCACACUCUCUAAUUGGUUGAUAUAAACUCUGAUAAAGAACUCACAAGAUUGAAUUCGACCUCAUUGAGAAUUUAAUUUUUCUUUUUGAGUGAUUAAUGGUGAGGUUUGCUAACUUUUAUUUUUGAGUGUUGAGUGUUUAUUUUUUACAGUUUUGAAGAUGUCUAAAGGUGAUAAUAAUGAUGCACUUAUGAAAGUCCAACAACAGUUAGACGGACAUACUGCUGCAAUCACACAAAUAAAUGCUACACUUCAAGCAUUGAAUACUACUUUGAAUGAGGUACGAGUGAAUCAAAAACAUCAAUAUCGAGAUCCAAUUAAGGAAGAUAGGGAUAACCAGCCCCAUAGGUGCAGCCCUCAACGUGUCCCUAGAAUGGAUGAUGAUUUUCAUGAUCGUGGACAAUCAUCUUUGGCAAAACCAAAGAGCAAGCAGCAACGAGAACAUCUCUUUCAUACUCGCUGCCAUGUACAAGGUAAGCUUUGUAGAGUUAUUAUUGAUUGUGAAAGUUGCUCAAACAUAGCCAGCACGACGAUGGUGGAAAAGCUUUGCUUAACCACUACCAAGCAUCCACAACCUUAUCAACUACAAGGGCUUAGCAACGAAGGCCAAUUUAGGGUCACUCAACAAGUGCGCAUCGCCUUUUCUAUCGGUAAGUAUCAAGACGAAGUUGUGUGCGACGUAAUGCCUAUUCAAGCCUGCCAUUUAUUGCUAGGAGAACCAUGGCAACUGGAUCGAAAAGUCACUCACGAUGGUCGUACCAAUAGGUAUUCUUUCAAGCAUCAAGGAAAGAAACUCACCUUAGUGCCGCUCACUUCGGAACAAGUCCAUGAGGACCAAAUCAAACUGAAAAAUUCUGUUAAAACAAGUGAGGAAAAAGAAAAAGAGAAUGAAAAAGAGCAAAAAGAGAUUGAGAGUGAAAAAGAAAUUGAAGAAAGAAGAGAAAAUGAAUUAGAAAAAGAAACAAAAGAAAAAGACGUGGAAAGGGUAGUGAGGAAUGUUUCCACUAACCAAGAUAUGAAUUUUUCUUGUGUUGCUACUUUUCAGGUUCCCGAAAGAUCGAAAGAUAACUUUCAACUUCAAUACCUCUCAAAUGAAAGACGCUUUCAUACGAUCAACUUAGGCAAAGAUGAAAUCACACUACAUGAUCCCGAAGGUAAGCGAGGUAAGGAAAUUUUAGAAACCGAGUCCAGUGCAGAUUUGAAAAUUAUUGAUAAAACUUUUGGUGACUUAGUUCUUAAAAGAUCCCCUCAUUUUGAUCCGAUUAAUUGUUACUCUUCGAUUGUGGUUGAUAAAGUCAUUACGAAAAGAAGCGUGAUUUGUUAUUCUCUUAAUUUACCUUGUGUAAAAUCCUUGAAUUUGUCCAAAUCUGUUUUGGAGAAUAAAGUAACGAAAUUUUCCAAAUUUGUUUUCAAUUUAUAUUCGUGCCUUAAACAGUUUAUGUGGUUGUACAUGAAGUUUGAGUUCCAUUUGACAAAGGUUAACUCAACAACGGAGAUUCGACUACACUAUGCCCCCGAUGAGCGAAGGUUUGUUUUAAAUGAAAAAGGUAAAAUCGACCCUUAUUCUUCUGCUUAUCGAGGUAAGAUGCUUGAAACCUUUGAAACACUUUUGUACUCCUCGGAUAGUGAUAAAGAUCGUGUUGAUGAACACUUAGAUCGAAACGUGCUUGACUGUCCUAUUUUAUUUAUUGAUGAUCUAUCUGUUUUGAUGGUUGAUAAAAAGAUUCUUGUUUUUGAUAAUGCAUGUGUGAGUGAAUCUAUAGACCGUCGAUUAAUGCAUGGUAUGAUUAUGCAACUCUGUGAACCAUGUGAAUCUUUUCAAAUACCUACUUGUGACGAUUAUGUUUACCAUUUGAUUUAUUACUCGCAAUUUAUUCAUGGUUUGUGGGAACAAUGUGAGACCACUGAAUGCCUUAAAACAUGUCCAUCUUUGUUUCAAAUAUUUGACGAGGCAGUGGUGAGUAAAUUAGAUUGUUUGCAUGGUAAUCUGAAUCUGUCCAUUCACAUGCGUUAUACCUGUUCUAUUAUGCUUAUGAUUGGACUACAAGCUUAUUUCCGUUGCUAUUUACUAUCUCAUGGCUAUUCUUCUCAGUGGACUCAAUUGCCAUUAGUCCCGUUCGAUAGAGGAAAGUCGAGUUCAUUUGAUUUUUCAGAUUCGAGGACGAAUCUUUUUGAGGAAGGGGGGAAUGAUACGAGUCACAAAAGCCCAAAUUCUUGAGGGCAAGGCCCAAUAAGAAGAUUCCAAGCCCAAUCAAGAAAUCCACCCAUACUUAGUUGAAAAUCAGGCCAAAUUGUCAAAGUGGCCCAAGUUGUAAAGUUUUAUUUUUAUUUAUUUAUUUAUUUUACUUAGUUUAAAUGUUUAUCCAAGAGUCCCAAAUAAAAGACCCUUGGCCGAAUUUCCAUAUUAAAAUAAUUAGGAGUUUUUUUUUUUAGUUUUAGUUUUAGUGUUCUAAUUAAAUUAGGAAAACAUUUGAAAGGCCUAUUUAUAUGGCUUGGCCAACCACCCUACAUUACAAUACAAUUACAUUGAAAAUUUCAGAUUUAAUUUGAGUGAAAAUUCUCUUUGAGUUCUUCAAGGAUUUUCUCUUGAGUUUUCUUUAGAAGUUGUUUUAACAAUCUUUUUGAUUGUGGGAGCCAUCUUCAACCUUCUUCUUGCCAUUGAUAUUCUUUGGAGGGGAGAUUAGAGCCGUUUGAAGGGAGUUGUGAGAUCUUUCGAGAUUUCAAGGCUUCUUAGGACUUAUCUUUUAAUUUCUUACUGUCAAUUCUUUCUUUAUUUCUACUUGUGCUGAAUCAUUAUCUAAUCUAUUUUCUGUUCUUAUUGUGUUUUCAGCCUUUUUCUAUCUUAAGGAAUCAGCCCAAAAAUCCCCAAUUUCUAGGGUUUUUCCAUACUCUUUUUGGGUGAAAUUAGAUUGUCGAAAUUUGGGGAAAACUAUCUUGGUGUUCAAUUGGGCAGAAUCACAAUCUCCUUGAGGGUUUCAAGAACCCUAACACUUAUUUCUAUUCUCAAUUUGAUUCUUUGCUGAUUUGGGGAUUUUAUUUCAGAUCUGAAAAUUCAAAAAUCUAAUCUUUUAAUUUUCUGUUUCGUUUCAGAUCUAAUUGUUUAGGGUUUUCGUAGGAGUUUCUCGUGACUUGGCAACUCGAUCUUGGUCCGCGCGCAACCCCGUAUCAGGUACAAUAAAGUUAAAUUUGCUAGAUUACAAAUUUCUUGGGGAAUAGGACCUUUUAAUAGAUUAGAACCAAGGGCUAAGUCGUGCAUCUUUGAUAAACUACCAACACAAGAAGGGAUUGAACCAGUCAAUUUGUUUUGGGAGAGGUACAAUGAAGUUAAAUUUGCUAGAUUACAAAUUUCUUGGGGAAUAGAACCUUGAAGUUGGUUAUUAUCAAGGUACAAAAUUUCCAAAUUGGUUAAUUGGUACAGAGUAAUGGGUAUUGAAUCGACAAGUCUAUUGUUGUAGAGACCCAAAAAAGUCAGAUUUCUUAAAUAUCCAAUUUCUAAUGGGAUAGAUCCAUUGAUUUGGUUCCCCGAAAGGCUCAGAGAUUGGAGACUGGUUAAUUGACCCAAAGCAGAAGGGAUUGGACCAACAAUUCCACAUUGACUUAAGUUUAAAGUCACAAGGUUCUCUAGAUUCCCCAGUUGUGGAGGGAUGGAACCAUUAAUAUUAUCAUUAUAGGAAAUGUCGAGGAAUUCUAAUUGGGUCAGCUUCCCUAGAGAAGGAGGUAACUCACCAGAUAAACCACAACUGGACAAGUCAAGGUACUUCAAUGCUGAUAGAUCACCUAUCUGAUGCGGGAUUUUUCCUCUAAUUUGAUGGUCACUAAGAUCAAGAAGGACAAGAUUUGGAAAUGAAGAGAAAUUCAGUUUCCCAAAUCUAUCUCCAACCUCAAUGUUGGGCGCAUCAGAUAAGUUAAUUUUGGUGAUGCUUUCAGCAGUGUUGCAGGUUAUACCAGGCCACUGGCAACGUUGUGAAGUAUUGCUGCUAUGGUUACUCCACCACCUGCUUUCUAGCAGAGCUAUGGCUUCGGACUCCAAUGGCGAUGGAUAUGCUGCUGUUACAGUUGUAGCAAAGGAAAGAAGGAUGGCAGCCCACAGUACCCCUAGAAUAACAGAAAUGGUUAGGGAUGAGGCCAUUGUUUAAUCUGGUAAGUAUUUAGUGGUAGCAUAUAUGUUAUGGUUUCCAAACGAUGAAUUUAAAGGAACUCAUCAAAGGAUUCAAGCUCUUGUUGCAAUAGUUGUAGGGGCAAGUUAUCGUCAUUGUUUUAGUCCUUGUCAUGGAACUUAAUUCAUCAUGCGCAAUGCUUUCUUCUUCAUGGAAUUUCUAUGUUAGCAUCAAUAAUGCAAAUACUAUAUUUAGGAUUGAAUCUUUGCUCUUCCUAUGGUCCAUAUUUCUUGAUAAUGAUACCUCCUGAUUUGAAUUUUCAUCAAAAGUAUAUGGUCGACGCAUGUUUCCAGAUAUAUUAAUUUCUCACGGAAAAUUCAUACAUAAUUUAACUUUUUAAAAAAUAUUUUUUAUAUAAAUUUAAGUUAAAAAAUUUAUAUUAUAAACAUAAAUACGCAUACGUGUUUAGGAUGAUUAUGAAUAAAAAUUUCUAAAAUCAUAUUAUAAGUUCUAAAAAUUUAUAUUAUAUAUUUUUUAAUAUUUUAUAAAGUUACGACAAGAAUUAUAUUAUUUAAAUCCUAAAAAGUUUCUAAAGUUAUAGGCAAAAGUAUAUUAUAAAAAUAAUUUAUGUUUUAUAAAAAGUGUUACUACAUACUUACUUAUAAAAAAAUUAUGGUCAAAAAAUUUAAAUAUAACUUACUUAUGUGUCUAUACUAUAUGUUAUAGAAAAUAAUAUAUUUAUUUAUAAAACAAUUAUAAUUUUUUGCCAUGACUUAUUUAAAAAAAAAUUAAGAUAAAAAAAUAUAUUAUUUAUAAGAAGUGUUUUGGAAGUUAUUGGACACUUUAUAAUUUUUUUUAUAAUUGUUAUAUAUUAUAAAUUUUAUACUAUUUUUAACCUAAUUCAUGAAUUAUAAAAAUGGUUAUAAUAUUCUAAAAAACUUUAAGUUGUAGUCUAUUGGUCGAGUAUUCAUCUUUCCAAGGAAUAGCUUAGGUUCAAAUCUCAUUGUUCAAAAAAAAUAUAUAUAUAUUUGUUAUAACCUAAAAUAAAUCAUUUUUCUUAUAAUUUUUAUUAGUAAUCAUAUUAUCGAUUAGUUUCUUGGGCUAACAUAUUAAAUAUGAUGAUUUUAUUUUAAUUUUUGUUACUUGUUUAGAAAUUUUUUAAUUUUACUGAUAAUUUAUUAUAGUAAUUAAUAUUUUAAAAAAAUAUAUUAAGUAACUAUGUAAUUAUAAAUUAUAAUUUACAAUUUGUACUAUGAAAUAUGAUAUAGGAAAUUACGAUGUAAUUACACACUGUCACCAAACAUGUCUAGAAAAUCAUAAUUCUUACUACUUAAUAAUUACACUUUUAUUAUGUGUUGUCAAAACAAAUUUUUGCAAUUGCUAGGGAAAAAGAAGAAGCUUAAUUAGAAUCCAAAGCUGCAUGAUUUUGAAAAUAUUUCCUUUCUCAUUGAAUCAAAAGUUUCAUGCAAAAAAACAUUGGAAAUUCAUGAUACGUAAAACUGGAACACCCCGUGUAGAUCCCAUGACAACGACGAUUCCAUCUUUAAUUUGGUUUAACAAUUUAAAGAUGUCGAUUUAGUUGUGGCCCAAAGCCUUUUUCUAUCAUUUUGUGGAUAUACUUUUCCAUUAAGUGCCUAAUUUUCCACAAAUAAUAAUGACUCAAGGGAAUUUUUAGUUCAGUCGUGAUGGAAUUUAUUUUCCAAAGAAUUGGGCUUUUAACGUGGUAUUUACUUUAUAUAUCGUCUUCAGUUUUUAUAUAAGAAAUUUCUCACCCAUUAAGACUCAAAAAGUCGAGACUUCAGACAAAUUAAUGGUGUUUUCUUUAUUGACAGAUUUUGAUGAAGUUAUAUCUAUGUUUAUAUAAUAUAUUUUAUUGAAUUAGUGUUACGAGUUAAUUUGAUAUCAAUUCAGUCGAAAAAAUUAUUUAAAAAUCAAUUUUUUAAUAAAGUAAUGAAUAUUAAUAUAAGGUUAAAGGGUUAAAAACACCUUAGUAAAAAGUUAAAAAAUCAACUAAGUUCAUAAUAGAAAAAUGGACCCAGUUGAGUAUUCAAUGAGAAAAAAAAUAAAUUGGCUCCUUUCGUUAACGAAAACGGUUGUUGACUAAUUUUAUCAAUAUUGGUUGUUGAUGUGGUUGGCGGAAGCUAUGACAAGUUGACAUGUGACAUACCAUGUGGAAGUAUGUUGAUGUUGCUUGUCAAGUUAUUAGAAUAUUUUUAAAAAUGUAAAAGUUAUAAAAAAAUAUAAAAUUUAUUACAAAUAUAAAAAAUAAAAUAUGAAUGAUUUUUAAAAUGUUCCUAAAAAAAUUAUAAAAUAUAACUUGACCUGCUAUGAGAGUUCUGUCGAAACCGUUUUUUGAAAACAAAAAUUUUGGUUGUCGACUUUAAAAACUAAAAUUGGAGUCGCCACCGAUCCUUUAUUAAGGUGUGAUCGGCUCACCUUAAAAUGAUUUUGGUCUACGAAAUUUGAGAGAAUGAGUCCGGGAGUCAGUUACGCACGAGGAAGGAUUAGCACCCUCGCAACGCCCAAAAUCGGUACCAAAUUGAUUCUUUAAUGCCUCGGUGUCGAAAAUUUGAAAAGAUUUUAAAAGGAGACUCUUUAUUUCAUGAAUGAAUCAAAAUAAUAAGACAUUCUUAUUUCAAAAAAUUAAAACACCACACCCAGUGAGUUAGGGCACAAUAUUUUUAAAUCUUCAAAAUACCCGAAUAUUGCCUUUUGCUUUUGAAAAUUCUUAUUUCGAGAAGUCAAAAUAUUAGGACCAGUAAGUUAGGACCCAACAUUUUUGAACUCCCGAGAAUAAGCUUUUAUUUGAAAUUUGUGGAUUUAUUGCAAAACAAAUACUUGGCUUUCUAAAUCCAUCGAAAAAUAAUCGCAAUCCAGUAAGUUAGGACACGAUCUUUCUCGAGAAUCAUGAAUGCCAAAUAUUUUGAAAAUUUAUAAAAUAUGAUGAUUUUAAUGCUUUGACAAAAGCAAAAUAUAUUUCUCAAAAGGUAUGCUAAAAGUUAAUGUAUAAUAUGAAACAAAAACUUUAAUCUAAAACAUAUAUGAAUAAAUAUUUACAAAUAUAUAUUUAUAUACAAGUACAAUAUACAAGUAAAUUUGUAAAUAUAUGUACGCAUACAUUUGACACACCUAUACAAGAAUACAGAAAGAUGGGAUGGAAUAUAUAUAUCAAUCAGAAAAUAAUAAAAAAUACAUGUAUGUAUUUAAAAAUCGUGAAAGUAAAAAAAAUAAAAAAAAUGUAUAUGUGUAUAUAUUUACAAAAUAAAAUAUAUAAGUAUAUAUAUAAUAUAAAGUAUAUAAAAAUAAGAAAAUAAAAUAAAAUGUAUAAGUAUAUAUAUAAUAUAAAGUAUAUAAAAAUAAGAAAGUAAAAUAAGGAUAUAAGGAAAAACGUAUGUAUAAAUAUAUGCACGUAUAUAUUAUAUAAAAAAUGCGUAUGUGUAUAUAUUUUACGAAAAACAUUUUUUGAAAAUGAAAUUCACAAAAUAUAUAUGUUUUGUAAAAAAUAUGAAAGAAAAAAUAAUAGAAAAUUAUAUAUAUAUAGAAUGCGCAUGUAUAAAAAACCAAUAUAUGUAUACUAUAAAAUAAUAUAAGGAUAUAAAAAAAAGUGCGAAUUGAAUGAAUAUAUUAAUAACGUGGUAAUAAGAGUAAUAAUGAUAAAAAAAUGAAAUGGAUUAAUAAAAACAAAAAGGAUCAUAUUGUAAUCGAGAUAGAAUUAGCGGGUACGAAUGGGAUUAAAAGUAAAAUGGGGACGAGAAUGCAACAAGAGAAUGACAUGGGGGACCAGUUUAGCAAUAAUCCGCUCUCCAAAACGCUGCGCAUUGACACUGGCUAAAAUGAACAGAAACAGAAACAUUUGGGCUAAAUUUAAAAAAAAUAAAAAUUGGCUUAAUAAAAACAUGGCGCAAAAGAGGGAGGACUGAUCGCGCAAAUUUCCCUUCUGACGUCAGAACUCGCGAAUCCUCCCCUCCGGGUCGGGUCACCGCGCUGGUCGCACCUGGCUAAAACGGCGCCGUUUUGUCUUCAAUAUAAAAACUAAAAUUUCUUUCAAAAAAGACCAAUUCUGUUUCAUUUUUCCUUUUUUAAAAACAACAGAGGGAAAAGGGGGGAAAGGUUGCUCUGCUAGGUUUUUCUUAACCUAGCUUCGCGCCGCCACUCGGCUUACACCUCCACGCCCCCGAUUUCGCCAGAGAAGACACCGGCCUGACGACUCCUGUGACCAGGUAAGUCUCUCCCCCUUUCUUUAUACUUUAAAUGAAAAAUAAAUAAAGAUAAAAAAAAUAAAACAAAAAAAGAAUAGACAAAAAUAAAAAAACUCGCCUUCAAAAAUAUCUUUGUCUCAGUAUAUUUUUCUCUCUAUCUUUGUCUCCUUUACACUCUAUCCCCCCUUUUACACUGAAAUUAUUGGCCUUUUAUAGCCGAAAAUGGAAAAGAAAAAAUAAAUCCAAAAAACAAAAUCUAUUCGAUUGUUUGUUGGCCCGAUUUUUGCUCUUCUCUUUCGCUUGUUGCAGGUACGUGCUUGAGGAGCGGCAUUUGCGGAGGUGUGGCAUGCGUAGAGGAGCGGCAUGCGUGGAGGAGGCUAGCUCCGAAUCUUGCGACGGCUGGAGAUGCUGCUAACUGCUAAAGGUUCUUAGGGUUUAGUUUUGGGCUGGUUCGGUUAUUGUUUGGGCCUGCUUAUUUGCUUGGGUCUGGGCAUUAUUGGGCUUGUACAGCUGCCCCUCUUUGCUCAUUGUCGUGUAACGGGAAUAGAGCAAAGACUAAAAGCCUAAUUGUGCUCAGUCUUACUGAGCCUCGCCUUCUUCAGUGCUUUUCUUCUUCAAGUAACCACAUUCCCUCCUACUGCAUCUUCAGAGGUAUAGGAACUGGUGCUUCGAUCUACCCCAUUGCAAUAUCGGGGAGAUAGGAUUCAUAUGUUCUAGCUUCUCGAAAGAACAAAAUUUGCUAUCUUUAAUCUGCUCCACUGCAACUUCAGGGAGAUAAGACUUAUAGCUUCAACUUGUUCUGCUACAACCAAAAGAUAAAUCUUAAUGCGAUCUGCUCUACUGCAACUUCAGAGAGAUGAGAUCUGCGAUUUUAAUCCACUCCAUUGCAACUUCAAGGAGAUAGGAUUAUUUUCUUCUGUCUACUCCACUGCAACUUCAGGGAGAUAAGACUUGUAUCUUCGAUCUAUUUCGCCAAUAUAUGGGAAGACAAGAUCUACUUUCUUUGAUCUACUUCACGCCAGUACAUGAAGACAAGAUCUGCUUUCUUCGAUCUACUUCGCCACCAGUAUGGGAAGACAAGAUCUAGUAUCUUUGAUCUACUUCACGCCAGUACAUGAAGACAAGAUCUGCUUUCUUUGAUCUAUUUCGCCACCAGUAUGGGAAGACAAGAUCUGGCAUCUUUGAUCUACUUCACGCCAGUACAUGAAGAUAAGAUCUACUUUUUUUCGAUCUACUUUGCCACCAGUGUGGGAAGACAAGAUCUAGUAUAUUUGAUCUACUUCACGCCAGUACAUGAAGACAAGAUUUGCUUUCUUCGAUCUACUUCGCCACUAGUAUGGGAAGACAAGAUCUGAUAUAUUUGAUCUACUUCACGCCAGUACAUGAAGACAAGAUCUGCUUUCUUUGAUCUACUUCGCCACCAGUAUGGGAAGACAAGAUCUGGUAUCUUUGAUUUACUUCACGCCAGUACAUGAAGACAAUAUCUGCUUUCUUCGAUCUACUUCGCCACCAGUAUGAGAAGACAAGAUCUGAUAUAUUUGAUCUACUUCACGCCAGUACAUGAAGACAAGAUCUGCUUUCUUCGAUCUACUUUGCCACCAGUAUGGGAAGACAAGAUCUGGUAUCUUUGAUCUACUUCACGCCAGUACAUGAAGACAAUAUCUGCUUUCUUCGAUCUACUCCGCCACCAGUAUGGGAAGACAAGAUCUACUAUCUUUGAUCUACUUCACUACCAAUAUAGGAAGACAGGAUUUGCUACUUUUCAACCUGCUCCGCUGUUGCUCAGGGAGAUAAGGCUUUAUGAUUUCUUUGAUCUAUUCUUUAGGGAACAUGACCUGUAUAAUUCACUUUAUGAAUCUAAUUAUGCCUAAUGAAUAGGAUGUCAUGAACAGAAUGAACCAAAUGCUCCUAACUAGACAUGUAUGAAUGUCAUUUGAAUGAAUGUAGAAUGUCAUUUAAAUGAUAUUUUAACGCUUGAGUUAUUAUUACUCCAAGUUUAUUAAGGUUUCAUCACUAAUGUGUUAUAACACCUUCUUGCUCAGCUGGCGUCUCCAAAGAAACACUUAGUCAGAUUGCCCCACUGUAACCUUCAAAGUUUAAUCCACUGGGAUGCAAAAUUUGUACCAUCUUUCUCCCGUUGUAACCCAAGAGUAAAGAUUUGACCUUUUCUCAAUCAUCUGCUAUCACAACACAGGGUGUAAAGCUCUUUGGUCUCUUACACCAUUCCCAGGGUGUUACACCAAAUGCUCAUGCACAAAUGAAGAAUUUUCUUAUCCAAGAACAACUUCUUUUCAUUAUUCGGUGAUCAUUGCUUGCUUGUUCAUUGAAGCUUUGUCACCAACACGACAUCUUGCCGUAUUGUUCAAUCGAUGUUUUAGACAACAAAAGCUCAAAGGGAUAGUCUGAAUUUAGACUUUUCCUUAUCAGAUUUCCAACCUGGUGCGUACUAAACAAUAGUCCUGUUUCAGGUUCCUAUAUUAUUUAGAAACUUCUAGAGUAAUAUGCAAAACUUCUCUUGUGAAAGUUUUGUUAGUCCAUUAAUUAUUAUUCUAAUGCAACAUGCUUGCAAAAAGAUCAUAGAUAAGAAGAAAGUUGGUUUUGAGCAUAGCUCGAAAUGAAUAAAUUGUUAGAGAUAAUAACAAUGGAUAACAAAGAAAUUGAUUUAGGAAUGCGUAUCUUGGAAAUGAAUGAAGUGUUCCAAGAAUAACAAAAAUAGUAUAGAGAUUAGGUGCCCCAGAUAUCGCAGCUUGAACUUCUCUGUACAAACUUUCUGAAGACCAUUCCGAGUUUAACAUAUGUUUAGGAGAUCAAUAGUACUUUGUCGAUGCCCCAAAAUGUCACCUACCCUUUCCUAUUAAUUCAGGUAUAGCAAGACCACUGCAUCCCCCAUUCUGAACAGUAUUUGAGCUACUCUGAAAAUUUCAAACGCCAUUUUGAUCAACAUUUGAACUGCCCUUUUUGGGUUUUCAACUCAAAUCCCCUUUGGUCUAAGGCGCCCUUUGCGGGUUUUCACCUUAACCUCUCCAUUUUUACUUUUUCAUUUUUCAUUUUCAUCUUUUCAUUUUUUUCACAUCACUUUUUUUUUGGACUCAAACUUCCCUUUGUGGGUUUUUACCUUGGUCCUCUCCUUCUUUAAGCGGAGUAUUUCCUGAUUGAAUCUGAGUUUACAGGACUCUGCAGGUUUAUCAUCCAUCUCGCUCAAAAUCAAAGCUCCUUUGGAAAAAAAACCUUCUCUAUAAUCAUAAGGUUCAUCCCAAUUUGGCAUCCGCUUCCCUCUAAGAUAUUUUUUUGUAGAGGGAGGAUCUUCAACAUUUGGUCACCCUCGUGGAAUUCUCCAGGAUGAACCUUUUGUUAUAAGCUCGCAUCAUUCAUUUCUGGUACAUCUGGCCGUGAUGAUUAGCUUUUAGUCUUCUUCCUUCUAUCAUGUUCAAUUGAUCACAUUACGAUUGGAUCUGUUCUGCUUCAUCCAACUUGCUCAGCCAAUACCCGGAGAGAAAGAACUUCAAUAGAAAAAAAACCAUGAUAAACUCAAUAGAGAGGCACUGCUCCGGUAAAGUUUUUACUGCAUCAUUCAUGAUAUUAACCUCGAACAUACUGCAAAUUUCUGAUAACGUGCUGUUGUUCAGAUUGCAAUGACAGUGCUUAACCUGGGCAUAUCCUGGUAUGACCAUGCGUAGAUAUCUUUGAAUUCUUGAAGUAACUCAACAAUGUAUUGUUUUGUCUUUGAAGUCAUGUCAAUUCCAAUCUUCACCAAGCUCACAACUUUUAAUGAUUCUUUGUGAGGUAGGAUCUGUCUAUCCUCUUAUUCUACCAUCCUCAAUAAGUCUGGAGAUAAGCUACAAUCCAUAUCAUCUUCAAAGUUGUUAGAUCCCUCUGAACACAUGUCUCACUCAAAAGGAGAUUCUGAGUCUGUAGCAGCGUCACUCAUGUCAUUGAUAUUUGGGGACCCAUGGCGGGUACCGAAGAAUAUACAAAAGAAUGUAUGAAUAAUAUGAAUGAAUGAAUGAAUAAUUUGGCAGAAAAAAUCUGAAAGAAUGAAAAAAAUCGUAAAGAAUGAAAGAACAUUUGCUCAAAGAUGAUUGCAAUAAUGUAUUUCAUUAAAAUAAUAAUGUUCAGACGUGAGCCUAUUUCACAAAGAAAUUCCUAUUGCUUCUAGGCUGAAAGCAACAAGUGUGUUCUGAACAUUACUCUAACAAACUCUAAAUACUAUAGGGUUUCUUCUGCGGUCCAAUUAUUUAGAACACUCCCAGGUUUACAAGGGCGAAUAUCUAACAAUGUUCCUUCUUCAGUUGUUUCUUCGUAUAUGUCACUGAUGUGAACACCCCAACACCUCUUCAUAUAUUGCAUCCACCCUAUUGUCAAUCAUGAUUGGGAAGCAGAUUUUUUGCACUUGAUGAGUCAUCAAGCUUGACAACACCCAUGUUGAUGAGUUUUUCAACUAGCUUUUUGAAGGUAAUGCAAUUGUCAAUUGAGUGCCCUGUAAUUCCCGCAUGGUAGUCACAUUGUGCGUUCGCAUCAUACCACUUGGGAUACGGAGGUUGUAGGGGUUUUAAGUAGGAAGGAGAAACAGCGUGUGUGUAACAGCCCGAUUCUGGGCCUAGUCGGAAUAGUGGUUUCGGGACCACAAAUCUGACGAGGGAAAAUAUGGUUAUUAUUAUAUUUUUAUGGUCUACAAUUUCACGGAAAAUUUUCGUAAAAAUUUCGUUCGAAAAUUUCGACGUUUGGGCACUCAAUUUAGUCAAAAGGACUAAAUUGUAAAUAGUGCAAAAGUUGAGUUCUACAUCUUAGAGGUGUCUACUUGUUAUAAAAUUUUAAAUUGGAAGUCUUUAUGUGGUAAUUAGACCAUUAGUUAGUUGAUGGACAAAAAUAGACAUAAGAAAUGGGUGAAAUAGAUUUUUUUAAAUGGGGGCAUUUUAGUCAUUUGGUUAUUAAAUAGAAUUAAAUGGGAAAAAGAUGGCAAAAUAUGUUCAUCUUCUUCAUGGUGAACGAAAUCAGCAAGGGGGAAGCCAUAUUUAGGGUUUUUAAGCUUUCAAGCUCCAUAGUAAGUGAUUCCAAGCCCCGUUUUUAAUGUUCUUCGUAUUUUUGGAAUCCCGGUAACUUGGUUUAGCUUAUUCUACCAUUAAUUCGUGUUAGGGUUCAUAUUUGGAAAAAUACCCAUAGGUGAAAUGUGUUUGUUUUGCUGUUUUAUGGUGGAAUAUGAAGCUAGAGAUUAUGUUAAACAACUUUUGCUAAGCAAUUUUAAGCGAAAACGAGUAAAUAGACAUAAUCGGUAAAAAUAAUUAAUAUUCAAAAGUGUGUGUUGGAGUGGGAAUUUGAUGUUGCCAUAGAAGGGAAAAAUGUUCAGCAUGUUAUAAAACUUAAGAAUAAGUGAUGAAGUUUAAUUUCCGAGCUUGGGGACAAAAAUGUAAUUAUGCAAAAGUUUGGGGGCAAAAUUGUAAUUUUUCAAAAAGUUGGGUGGUGGGUUAUUUUAAUAAAUGUGAAUAUUAAACGAGUUAAAUUUGCUAUUAUAGAUCAAGAAAGACGUGAAGAGUAUAUCAAACGGGGAAAAGAAAAGAUAGUGGAGUAAAGUGCAAAAUUACGAUAUUUUGCACCGAGGUAAGUAAACACGUGACUUAAUGUAUUAUUUUGAUAUUAUUUGAUAUAUGUUGAGAUUUAUUUGGAAUUAAAAUAAAUGUUUGGCAAUAUCCUAAAAAUGUUGUUAAAUCGGGAAAGGUGAUAAAGGGUUGCAAUAUAUGGUUUAUGGGUUGAACACUCGGAAUAAGCCGGAGUAUGUUGUAUAUAAAAGGGGUUGCUGUGUGCUGAUUCCCCGAUUCAUUGGUGGUGCUAGGUGCGUGAUCCACCAUACCUUUGAAAUGUGAAAGGGGGUUGCUAUGUGUUGAUUCCCCCGAGGGGUUGCUAUGUGCUGAUUCCUUGAUUUCAUUGGUGGUGCUAAGUGCGAUAUCCACCGUACCUUUGAAAUGUGAAAGGGGGUUGCUAUGUACUGAUUCCCCCGAGGGGUUGCUAAGUGCUGAUUCCCCCGAGGGGUUGCUAUGUGCUGAUUCCCCGAUUUCAUUGGUGGUGCUAAGUGCGAUAUCCACCGUACCUUUGAAAUGUGAAAGGGGGUUGCUAUGUGCUGAUUCCCCCGAAGGGUUGCUAAGUGCUGAUUCCCCGAUUUCAUUGGUGGUGCUAAGUGCGAUAUCCACCGUAUUUUUGAAAUGAAAAGGGGGUUGCUAUGUGCUGAUUCCCCCGAGGGGUUGCUAAGUGCUGAUUCCCCGAUUCAGUGGUGGUGCUAAGUGCGGGAUCCACCGAUAACGGUUAACAUUCCGAGUGUUCAACGAAAAAGUGUGGAAGGUGAAUAUUGCCAUAUGGUGGAAAAUUUUAUGGGGUAAAUAUUGAGUUGAAUACUAAAUCGACCCAUGUAUGAGAUGGGAGAAAAUAUCAAAAACGCAAAAGGAACGAUUUAAUUAUAAACUGUGUUGAACAACAGCAAUUGGGUAACUUUGAAAAAUCACCAUAAAUGGUGAAAAAUGAAUGGGAAGCUGAAUAAUAUAUGAAAUUGAAGUUGAAUGUAUCUAUUCUCAUAUGAAAGAAAUAGAAUAAGCAAAAGAGUUGUAUUUUUGGAGAUAUCUGAAUUUUACUGAAACAGGGCUGGAUUGAUUUCGAGAUCCCCUGUUCUAACUUUAUAAAAUUACCAAAAAUUGUACAAAAAUAAUUAUGGCAUGAAAUUUAUAUCCCUGGAAUCCUUAUUGAGUCUAUUUUUAUUAGAAACAAGCGAAACCAUUUUUCAAAUUUUUUACAGAGAGUUAAGUGAAUUUUAGUGAGGAAGGGUCAGAACCGUUGGGCAGUGAAACAGGGGAAGGUUUAAUGAAUAAACUGUACUAAUUGGCUGGGCCAAAAAUUCUGAAAUUUUUAUGGUGAAAUGGUAUAUGAGUCUAGUUUCAGGAAAAAUUUACGGAACUCAAUUUGGAGCCCUGUAGCUCCAGAUAAAAAUAAAUUAGAAAAUAUGACGCAGAAAAACAGCUUGCUGGAAAUUGCCUAAACAAUAAAGUUAUUCAUGAAUAA